rnacentral:lncRNA from 1 species
UGAGGAGUUGAGUGCUAAGGAGUAUGUAAGCACAGUGGACACGCUGAAGUAUCUAAGCCAAAGAACCCUGUGUUUCACAUCCCAAAGUGUUACAGAAGGAAGUGAUUGGAAAUUGAAAAUGCCAGUGCUUAAGAUGUUUUCAAAAGACUUGACUUCUCAGCCUGGUCAACUGGAUCAACAGGAAAAAGAGGUCCUAAACUUCAUCUAAGUAAGAACUACAUGAGAGCUUGUCCCAGGAUACACGUGCAGGACAACUGUGCCG